rnacentral:rRNA from 1 species
AUUGAACGCUGGCGGCAUGCCUUACACAUGCAAGUCGAACGGCAGCACGGGAGCAAUCCUGGUGGCGAGUGGCGAACGGGUGAGUAAUACAUCGGAACGUGCCCAGUAGUAGGGGAUAGCCCGGCGAAAGCCGGAUUAAUACCGCAUGAGACCUGAGGGUGAAAGCGGGGGAUCGCAAGACCUCGCGCUAUUGGAGCGGCCGAUGUCAGAUUAGCUAGUUGGUGGGGUAAAGGCCCACCAAGGCAACGAUCUGUAGUUGGUCUGAGAGGACGACCAGCCACACUGGGACUGAGACACGGCCCAGACUCCUACGGGAGGCAGCAGUGGGGAAUUUUGGACAAUGGGCGCAAGCCUGAUCCAGCAGUGCCGCGUGCAGGAAGAAGGCCUUCGGGUUGUAAACUGCUUUUGUCAGGGAAGAAAUCCUUUGGGUUAAUACCUCGGAGGGAUGACGGUACCUGAAGAAUAAGCACCGGCUAACUACGUGCCAGCCGCCGCCGCAGUAA